GUGAGGAAUAUUGGUCAAUGGGCGCAAGCCUGAACCAGCCAUGCCGCGUGCAGGAAGACGGUCCUAUGGAUUGUAAACUGCUUUUAUUUGGGAAUAAACUCCGGUACGUGUACCGGCCUGAAGGUACCAAAUGAAUAAGCACCGGCUAACUCCGUGCCAGCAGCCGCGGUAAUACGGAGGGUGCAAGCGUUAUCCGGAAUCAUUGGGUUUAAAGGGUCCGCAGGCGGUCUUAUAAGUCAGUGGUGAAAGCCUACAGCUCAACUGUAGAACUGCCAUUGAUACUGUAGGACUUGAAUUCGAUCGAAGUGGGCGGAAUGUGACAUGUAGCGGUGAAAUGCUUAGAUAUGUCACAGAACACCGAUAGCGAAGGCAGCUCACUAGGUCUGGAUUGACGCUCAGGGGCGAAAGCGUGGGGAGCAAACAGGAUUAGAUACCCUAGUAGUCC
rnacentral:rRNA from 1 species